rnacentral:misc_RNA from 1 species
GCAACAAAAUUUAAGGCUAUAGAAUGUAAAUAGCCGACUUAGUGCAUUAAGAACAUAUAUAUUUUUUUUAAUAACAAAGCAAUGGCUGCAGGUAAUAUAAUGAAAGCAUUCUUUACUUUGAUCUUCGACAAAGUUCACUGUAGUUCAUUGAGUGGCAGAGACAACGGAUUUGGAAACAAUUAUAUAUGGGCAGGAUCACUGGAGUCAGGUUUACAAAUAGCCACACAUCAUAACAAGCCUGUAAUGGUGAUUAUACACAAAUCCUGGUGUUCAGCCUGCAAGAAUUUGAAGCCUAAAUUUGCUACUUCGUCGGAGAUACAAUCGUUGAGCAAGCAUUUCGUUAUGGUCAACUUGGUUGACGAAGAGGAGCCGAAAAGUAGCAGUUUUGCUCCCGACGGAUCUUAUAUACCCAGGAUACUGUUCGUAUCACCAAAAGGAUCUGUGGACCACGACAUCUACAAUGAGGAGGGUAGCAGUCAAUACAAAUACUUCUACAGCAGGCCGGAACAAAUCGCUAAAUCGAUGAGAAAAGUCCUCGAAAAAUAUAAACAUGAACAAUUCGAUGAAUGAACGUAGACAUGAAGUGAAAUAAUUUUGACUAUUAAAUGGACUCAAUAAAGUGAAUGAAGCACAAAGGUAAUAAGUACUCACAUCUUCGACGACUGGUUCGACGUACAUCUCCAU